GUCGACGAUGAAGCCCUUCGGGGUGGAUUAGUGGCGAACGGGUGAGUAACACGUGGGCAAUCUGCCCUUCACUCUGGGACAAGCCCUGGAAACGGGGUCUAAUACCGGAUAAUACCUGCCUGGGCAUCUGGGUGGGUUGAAAGCUCCGGCGGUGAAGGAUGAGCCCGCGGCCUAUCAGCUUGUUGGUGAGGUAGUGGCUCACCAAGGCGACGACGGGUAGCCGGCCUGAGAGGGCGACCGGCCACACUGGGACUGAGACACGGCCCAGACUCCUACGGGAGGCAGCAGUGGGGAAUAUUGCACAAUGGGCGAAAGCCUGAUGCAGCGACGCCGCGUGAGGGAUGACGGCCUUCGGGUUGUAAACCUCUUUCAGCAGGGAAGAAGCGAGAGUGACGGUACCUGCAGAAGAAGCGCCGGCUAACUACGUGCCAGCAGCCGCGGUAAUACGUAGGGCGCAAGCGUUGUCCGGAAUUAUUGGGCGUAAAGAGCUCGUAGGCGGCUUGUCACGUCGGGUGUGAAAGACCGGGGCUUAACCCCGGUUCUGCAUUCGAUACGGGCUAGCUAGAGUGUGGUAGGGGAGAUCGGAAUUCCUGGUGUAGCGGUGAAAUGCGCAGAUAUCAGGAGGAACACCGGUGGCGAAGGCGGAUCUCUGGGCCAUUACUGACGCUGAGGAGCGAAAGCGUGGGGAGCGAACAGGAUUAGAUACCCUGGUAGUCCACGCCGUAAACGGUGGGAACUAGGUGUUGGCGACAUUCCACGUCGUCGGUGCCGCAGCU
rnacentral:rRNA from 1 species